GAAAUGCGAUAAGUAGUGUAAAUUGCAGAAUUCAGUGAAUUAUCAAAUCUUUGAACGCACAUUGCGCCCCUUAGUAUUCUAUAGGGCAUACCUGUUCAAGCGUUAUUUGUACCCUCAAGCUCUGCUUGGUGUUAGGUGUUUGUCCACUCCCUGUGUGUAGACUCGCCUCAAAGCAAUUAGCAGCCAGUGUUUUGGUAUUGAAGCGCAGCACAUUUUGCGAUUCCUGCCAGUAACACUAGCGUCCAGUAAGCCUUUUUCCACUUUUGACCUCAGAUCAGGUAGGGAUACCCGCUGAACUUAA
rnacentral:misc_RNA from 1 species